rnacentral:rRNA from 1 species
UACGAGGGGGGCGAGCGUUGUCCGGAAUCAUUGGGCGUAAAGCGCGCGUAGGCGGCCCGGUAAGUCCGCUGUGAAAGUCAAAGGCUCAACCUUUGAAUGUCAGCGGAUACUGCCGGGCUAGAGUCCGGAAGAGGCGAGUGGAAUUCCUGGUGUAGCGGUGAAAUGCGCAGAUAUCAGGAGGAACACCAAUGGCGAAGGCAGCUCGCUGGGACGGUACUGACGCUGAGACGCGAAAGCGUGGGGAGCAAACAGG